UGAGGUAGGAGGUUGUAUAGUUGAGAAGGACACCCAAGGAGAUCACUAUACGGCCUCCUAGCUUUCC
rnacentral:pre_miRNA from 1 species